CCGUCUUUUACAAGUAUGAUUCUAUUAGAAUAUUUCGAUUUGUCUUGGAUUUUUAUUUUAAAUGAAAAUUCAUUAUUAUUUGAUAAAAAUGUAUACAGUAUUUUUUAUGUUGUUCUGUUUUGUGUGGUUCUGUUUUGUUUUGUGUUUUUUAUUUUUUUGUAAAACGUAAAUGAAAAAAAAUCAAAAUAAUUUUUUUUUUUUUUUUUUUGGCGUAUUUAUCAAUUCACACGUAAUAAAAUAAAAUUUUUGAUUUUUAUUUAUCCAUUUCAUUUUAUUUGAUAUUUAAUUUUUAAAUUUAUUUUGAUGAUAUAUGUGUAAUACAUAUACGCAUAUACACACAUUAUUAUACAGUUAUUAAUUUGUUUUACUUUUAUAUUAUAUUUUCAUUUUUGUAAAAUGGUUGUUACAUAUAAAAUUUUAUAAAUUUAAUUUAUGGUUAUUAAAUAAAUGGUUAAUUAUUAAUGUAUCGGUAAAAAAUAAAAAAACAGAAGGCUUUAAAGAAAGUGUUAUCAUAAUAUUCAUUUAUUAAGUAAGAUUUUAGUUCUUUCAAUUUUUUAAAUAAUUACUUAUAUACUAAUCAUUAUUUUGUCAGUAUUUAGCUUUUUAUUUGUUUUUCAAUUAAUGAAAGUGUUACAAAUUUCAGCACACUUGAAUUAAUACUUUAUCUUUUAUUGUAAAAAAAAAAAAAAAAAAACACAUAAUCAGUAAUUUCUAUUGUUUAAAUAAAAUGAAACUCAUUUUACUUUUUUGUGUAAUAUUUUACUUAUAUGCUUUUAAUGGAGUGUUACUCCGAGCAGAAGUAUCUAAUAAUGAAUCAGAUGAUAUUUUUCAAACAGUUAUAGAAUCAGCUAUUUUUGCGUUAUAUAAAGCAGCUGAUGCAGUAGAUAAAGCAAUCAAUUUGAAAUAUAAGGAAAGUUUAGAAACAGAGGGAAGCGAAACUCUUAGUGCUGUAUCUAUUGCAAAUGAGAUUAUAGAAUUAAAAAAUGUAGUGUAUACAACACUUAAGAACAUUCAGGAUCUUGAAAAUAUAGCAAAAAUAGGAGCUGGUAUUACAGAAAAACCAAAAGAAAAUAAUAAUGAAAACGAUAUAAUCAAGGAUGAUAAUACAGAACAACAGCAUCUUAGAGGACUUGAACAAGAUGAUGAUAAACAUAAGAAACAUACUAGUUCUAAAAAAUCGGCUAUAUCUAUACAAAUUGAAAAGGCAGAACAAGAAGCUAAAAAGGUAAUUGAAACAGCCAAAAACAUAGAGGAUGAAUUAGAUAAUGCACAUGAAGGAGAGAUGUAUGGUGACGCUGUUAAAGCAACAGAAGCAGCUAUUAGAGGUGACGCAUACUUAAAGAAAAUGAAUGAACACUUAAAAAAAGCAUUAUAUCAUGUAAAACUCGCUGAAACAUAUAGCGAUUUAGUAGAUGAAGCACAUAAACAAGCAAAUGAAACUUUAACAUUUGCUAAUUUUACAAAAACAAUUGCUGUAAAUCUUGAAAGUGUGAUAGAAGGCAAAAUUGAUGACGCUAUUGAUUUAGUAAAAGAGUUUACUGAGAUUGCAAAAAAUGCCGCAAAUGAUAGCCAACUAGCUGCAGAAGCUGCUAAAGUUGCAUACAACGUUGAUGAUAUAUUUAUAUAUACACACAGUUCUAUACACGCAGCUAAUAAAGCUAUUACUGCUUAUACUAAAGUAGGCCAUAUUGCAAAAGCAGCUAUAAAACUAGUUAAAUUAUCUGUAAGUAAAGAAAUGGUUGAAAAAAUGAAAGAAUUAAUGGAAUUUGUAGUUACAGCUAAAGCAUAUAGAGAUGUGGCUAAAAAUUUUGCUAAACAUGCAAUACAAAUUGCAGAAACACAUAAAAUAAAACCGGACGUAGUUCUUAUAGAGAGCAGCGACAAUAAACAUAAUAUACAAAAAAAAAAAGAUGGUAAAAAUUCAGUACAUACCAAUAAUAGAAUGUUAGCGGAAAAAGAAGUUGAAGAAGAAGUUAAAGAAGAAGUUAAAGAAGAAGUUAAAGAAGAAGUUGAAGAAGCAGUUGAAGAAGAAGUUAAAGAAGAAGUUAAAGAAGUAGUUGAAGAAGAAGUUAAAGAAGCAGUUGAAGAAGAAGUUAAAGAAGUAGUUAAAGAAGAAGUUAAAGAAGCAGUUGAAGAAGAAGUUAAAGAAGAAGUUAAAGAAGAAGUUGAAGAAGAAGUUGAAGAAGCAGUUGAAGAAGCAGUUGAAGAAGAAGUUAAAG
rnacentral:lncRNA from 1 species